GGAGUUGUAACUCAGUGGUAGAGUGUUUGCCUGGUAUGCAAGACCCAUUCCCUCCCCAGCACCA
rnacentral:tRNA from 1 species